CUAAGACAUGCUAGUCGAGCGUCUUCAGGCUAUGUUGAGGACGCGGCGUACGGCUCAGUAACACGUGGCCAACCUACCCUUAGGACGGAGACAACCCCGGGAAACUGGGGCUAAUCCCCGAUAGGUGAGGACGCCUGGAAUGGUCUCUCACCCAAAGGACGUUGAAACCAUGCUUUUCAGCGUUGCCUAAGGGUGGAGCCGCGGCCGAUCAGGUUGUUGGUGAGGUAACGGCUCACCAAGCCUAUAACCGGUACGGGCCAUGAGAGUGGGAGCCCGGAGAUGGGCACUGAGACAAGGGCCCAGGCCCUACGGGGCGCAGCAGUUGCGAAACCUCCACAAUGCACGAAAGUGCGAUGGGGCUAACCCGAGUGCCGUCCGCUGAGGAGGGCUUUUCUCCGCUGUAAGGAGGCGGAGGAAUAAGGAGAGGGCAAGACUGGUGUCAGCCGCCGCGGUAAUACCAGCUCUCCGAGUGGUAGGGACGAUUAUUGGGCCUAAAGCGUUCGUAGCCGGCUUGGCAAGUCUUUCGUUAAAUCCAGUGACCUAAUCGCUGGGCUGCGGGAGAUACUGUCAGGCUUGGGAGCGGAAGAGGU
rnacentral:rRNA from 1 species